ACGGGCUUUGAAAUGAAGCUCAGAGUGGAAGCCAGGAUCAGAGAAGAGGGAACAGAUGUGGUAGUCGCUGCAAAUGGGAUAAGUGAAAUCACAAACGUUGCAUCCAAACUCACAUUCGUGAAAGUGGAUUCACACUUUAGACGAGGAGUCCCCUUUUCUGGACAGGUGCUUCUGGUGGAUGGGAAAGGUGCGCCCAUCCCCAAUAAACUCAUCUUCAUCUCUGCGAAUAAAGCCAACUAUCACUUUAACACAACCACCAAUGAACAGGGUCUUGUUUCCAGCUUCUGUUUGCCCUAUUCGUGGGUAGCAGAAGUCCACGAGCCUGCGCAGCACGCUGUAAGUCACGUUUUCUCCCUCAGUGGGAGUUACGUGGACCUGGAGCCUGUGGCUGGCACUCUGCCCUGCGGCCACACACAGACCAUCAGGGCACACUAUGUGCUGAAGGGACAGGCCGUGGGAGAGCUGUCGGAGAUCAGUUUCCAUUACCUGGUAAGAAUGAAGCCUUGGAAUACAACUGCAGCUCGUCAGUGGGCAAAAGUCAUCAGUAGGCUCAGGAAUGUCCGAAGAAAGUACGUGCACACAGCCAUGCUGCGUUCUCUGCGCGCCCUCCAUUUCGCCCGGGCAGUGGGCGCGUGCGGUGGGGCUCGCGGCGAGUGCGGCGCUGGGCGGAGCCACGUGGCAGCCGAGCGCAAGACAAAGGUGUCCAAGAAUCGGCUACGCAGGAGGUUUAUGCAAAGGGGACUGGACUCAGAAACCAGGAGACGACUGGCAGGGGAAGAAAAGAAAAUCGUUGGUGAAGAGCGCCGGUACGUGGGUCUGCCAGAGCUUAAAGAGAAAGAUUGAGUUUCCUAACAGAAGAGCAGAGUUUCUUAUUACGAGAAGGUUUUCUCCAUGGAAGAACGUCACUCCGAGGAUUUCACCCUGAGGUUGAGGAAUUGAUGCUUCGUAUGAAUGCUAAGCUCAAUGCAGAAGUGGAAGAUGCAGCAGUGUGUCAGAUGAAGCGAUGGCUAGAAGAUAUGAGACCUUGGUGGGGACAGUUGGGAAAAAGUUUGCCAGAAAGACAGACCAUGCCAAUUAUGAAGAAGGUGAAAAUGGAGACAUAACAACCGAUUAAAGCAAAGAACAUGUUCUUAAAGCCCCAGGACUAAGAUGGAUGCCUUAAGCUAUGGCCCACGGGGGCUCCAUGGAAGUCAGCGGCGGAUCUGGAGCUCAUCCCAAUGGUGUCUCUGUAGUUAUUAACACUGUAAUGUUUACUUUGUAAAGAGGUGUAUCAUCUUAGAAACAUGCUGUUUUUGAAACAGAUGUUGAUGGAUGUUGUACAUCCUUGGCUUAAUGGUGUUCAUUCAGAGUGGAUUUUUAGCCCCCUGAUCUUCAAAUGUACAUUGUUAGAGGGCUCCUUCCUGAAGAGUAUUUUGACCUCUGGUUUCUCUUAAUACAGUUCUCCAGCCACUGACCUUGAAUUGACUCAUGUAAACCAAUGCCAAAGUUUAAAUUGCCCUUUAUUAU